UCAAGUGAAGAAGCGCAUACGGUGGAUGCCUUGGCAGUCAGAGGCGAUGAAAGACGUGGUAGCCUGCGAAAAGCUUCGGGGAGUCGGCAAACAGACUGUGAUCCGGAGAUGUCUGAAUGGGGGAACCCAGCCAUCAUAAGAUGGUUAUCUUGUACUGAAUACAUAGGUGCAAGAGGCGAACCAGGGGAACUGAAACAUCUAAGUACCCUGAGGAAAAGAAAUCAACCGAGAUUCCCUUAGUAGUGGCGAGCGAACGGGGACCAGCCCUUAAGUUGUAUUGAGAUUAGCGGAACACUCUGGAAAGGGUGGCCAUAGUGGGUGAUAGCCCUGUACGCGAAAAUCCCUUUGCAAUGAAAUCGAGUAGGACGGGGCACGAGAAACCUUGUCUGAAUAUGGGGGGACCAUCCUCCAAGGCUAAAUACUACUGACUGACCGAUAGUGAACCAGUACCGUGAGGGAAAGGCGAAAAGAACCGCGGAGAGCGGAGUGAAAUAGAUCCUGAAACCGUAUGCGUACAAGCAGUGGGAGCCCACUUUGUUGGGUGACUGCGUACCUUUUGUAUAAUGGGUCAGCGACUUAUUUUCAGUGGCGAGCUUAACCGAAUAGGGGAGGCGUAGCGAAAGCGAGUCUUAAUAGGGCGUCUAGUCGCUGGGAAUAGACCCGAAACCGGGCGAUCUAUCCAUGGGCAGGUUGAAGGUUGGGUAACACUAACUGGAGGACCGAACCGACUACCGUUGAAAAGUUAGCGGAUGACCUGUGGAUCGGAGUGAAAGGCUAAUCAAGCUCGGAGAUAGCUGGUUCUCCUCGAAAGCUAUUUAGGUAGCGCCUCAUGUAUCACUGUAGGGGGUAGAGCACUGUUUCGGCUAGGGGGUCAUCCCGACUUACCAAACCGAUGCAAACUCCGAAUACCUACAAGUGCCGAGCAUGGGAGACACACGGCGGGUGCUAACGUCCGUCGUGAAAAGGGAAACAACCCAGACCGUCAGCUAAGGUCCCAAAGUCAUGGUUAAGUGGGAAACGAUGUGGGAAGGCUUAGACAGCUAGGAGGUUGGCUUAGAAGCAGCCACCCUUUAAAGAAAGCGUAAUAGCUCACUAGUCGAGUCGGCCUGCGCGGAAGAUGUAACGGGGCUCAAACCAUGCACCGAAGCUACGGGUAUCAUCUUAUGAUGAUGCGGUAGAGGAGCGUUCUGUAAGCCUGUGAAGGUGAGUUGAGAAGCUUGCUGGAGGUAUCAGAAGUGCGAAUGCUGACAUGAGUAACGACAAUGGGUGUGAAAAACACCCACGCCGAAAGACCAAGGUUUCCUGCGCAACGUUAAUCGACGCAGGGUUAGUCGGUCCCUAAGGCGAGGCUGAAAAGCGUAGUCGAUGGAAAACAGGUUAAUAUUCCUGUACUUCUGGUUAUUGCGAUGGAGGGACGGAGAAGGCUAGGCCAGCCUGGCGUUGGUUGUCCAGGUUUAAGGUGGUAGGCUGAGAUCUUAGGUAAAUCCGGGAUCUUAAGGCCGAGAGCUGAUGACGAGUGUUCUUUUAGAACACGAAGUGGUUGAUGCCAUGCUUCCAAGAAAAGCUUCUAAGCUUCAGGUAACCAGGAACCGUACCCCAAACCGACACAGGUGGUUGGGUAGAGAAUACCAAGGCGCUUGAGAGAACUCGGGUGAAGGAACUAGGCAAAAUGGCACCGUAACUUCGGGAGAAGGUGCGCCGGUGGAGGUGAAGCAUUUACUGCGUAAGCCCCUGCCGGUCGAAGAUACCAGGCCGCUGCGACUGUUUAUUAAAAACACAGCACUCUGCAAACACGAAAGUGGACGUAUAGGGUGUGACGCCUGCCCGGUGCCGGAAGGUUAAUUGAUGGGGUUAGCGCAAGCGAAGCUCUUGAUCGAAGCCCCGGUAAACGGCGGCCGUAACUAUAACGGUCCUAAGGUAGCGAAAUUCCUUGUCGGGUAAGUUCCGACCUGCACGAAUGGCGUAACGAUGGCGGCGCUGUCUCCACCCGAGACUCAGUGAAAUUGAAAUCGCUGUGAAGAUGCAGUGUAUCCGCGGCUAGACGGAAAGACCCCGUGAACCUUUACUAUAGCUUUGCACUGGACUUUGAAUUUGCUUGUGUAGGAUAGGUGGGAGGCUUUGAAGCGUGGACGCCAGUCUGCGUGGAGCCAACCUUGAAAUACCACCCUGGCAACUUUGAGGUUCUAACUCAGGUCCGUUAUCCGGAUCGAGGACAGUGUAUGGUGGGUAGUUUGACUGGGGCGGUCUCCUCCUAAAGAGUAACGGAGGAGUACGAAGGUGCGCUCAGACCGGUCGGAAAUCGGUCGUAGAGUAUAAAGGCAAAAGCGCGCUUGACUGCGAGACAGACACGUCGAGCAGGUACGAAAGUAGGUCUUAGUGAUCCGGUGGUUCUGUAUGGAAGGGCCAUCGCUCAACGGAUAAAAGGUACUCCGGGGAUAACAGGCUGAUACCGCCCAAGAGUUCAUAUCGACGGCGGUGUUUGGCACCUCGAUGUCGGCUCAUCACAUCCUGGGGCUGAAGCCGGUCCCAAGGGUAUGGCUGUUCGCCAUUUAAAGUGGUACGCGAGCUGGGUUUAGAACGUCGUGAGACAGUUCGGUCCCUAUCUGCCGUGGACGUUUGAGAUUUGAGAGGGGCUGCUCCUAGUACGAGAGGACCGGAGUGGACGAACCUCUGGUGUUCCGGUUGUCACGCCAGUGGCAUUGCCGGGUAGCUAUGUUCGGAAAAGAUAACCGCUGAAAGCAUCUAAGCGGGAAACUUGCCUCAAGAUGAGAUCUCACUGGAACCUUGAGUUCCCUGAAGGGCCGUCGAAGACUACGACGUUGAUAGGUUGGGUGUGUAAGCGCUGUGAGGCGUUGAGCUAACCAAUACUAAUUGCCCGUGAGGCUUGACCAU
rnacentral:rRNA from 1 species